rnacentral:other from 1 species
GCUUCCCUGCCUGGUUCGUGAUGGCCUUAAAUUCCUUGAACCAAUGCCAUGUGCAAGGCCGCGGAAAUUUGUAGCGUGGGCGUGCGCGUCACUCGUCUGACGUACCCGAAAUGCUUCUAACUGCGGCCGUCUUGAACCUCCGGUUCAGGAUGCCGGCUUAACGGCCGAGGUGGGGAUCUU